CCUACGGGAGGCAGCAGUGAGGAAUAUUGGUCAAUGGGCGCGAGCCUGAACCAGCCAAGCCGCGUGAAGGAUGACUGCCCUACGGGUUGUAAACUUCUUUUAUAAAGGAAUAAAGUGAGGCACGUGUGCCUGUUUGUAUGUACUUUAUGAAUAAGGAUCGGCUAACUCCGUGCCAGCAGCCCCGGUAAUACGGAGGAUCCGAGCGUUAUCCGGAUUUAUUGGGUUUAAAGGGAGCGUAGAUGGGUUGUUAAGUCAGGUGUGAAAGCUUGCGGCUCAACCGUAGAAGUGCAAUUGAUACUGGCAGGCUUGAGUGCAGUUGAGGUAGGCGGAAUGCGUGGUGUAGCGGUGAAAUGCUUAGAUAUCACGAAGAACUCCGAUUGCGAAGGCAGCUUACUAAACUGCCACUGACGUUGAUGCACGAAAGUGUGGGUAUCAAACAGGAUUAGAUACCCUUGUAGUC
rnacentral:rRNA from 1 species